GGGGGAAUAGCUCAGCUGGUAGAGCAUUCGACCGAUAAUCGAAAGGUCGCAGGUUCGAUCCCUGCUUCUCCCACCA
rnacentral:tRNA from 1 species